rnacentral:lncRNA from 1 species
AUGGAAAACUAUCUUUUAGAAUAUUUCUUUUGUUUUCAUAAUCUUCUACUGUAUGCAUACAAUGGCUUUUAUAUAUCCCCUCCUCAGCCCUGGUUAAAGAUAUAUUGCAACACUGAAAAAUCCAUCAUCAGGCUGUUCCUCAUUAUGCCAAGUGAUAUGGAAUCAACCAAGCUAUUGUCUUGUCUACAUAGCACCAAGUUGUUCAUAUAA